CUCAGUCAUCGCGUCACCAAGCCCCACGUGCAGGUUCUGGCAUCCAUCAUGGCAAACUGGAGACCGCGGGACUAUGGAAAGACUACAUUUCUCAACCUUCCUAGUAGAUGUGAUGUCACCAGUCGGAAUUGGGCAGAAGAAUGUAUCACUUCAGUCCAAGGCAAUUAAGUCUCCGACCCUCUAGCCAAUAGAUGGCAUCUCCUGCCAGCCAAAUGAGUGAGCCAUCAACAGUAACCUGCCCAGCUGAGUCUUCAGGUAACUCCAGUCCUGGUGUGAUCGCAGUCACAUAAGCCAUUCAAAGUAAGAAUCACCAGUUGAGUUCAGCCAACAGUCAUGGGCAAUAUUAGAAAUCACUGUACUGCCAGGUGCGGUGGCUCACGCCUGUAAUCCUAGCACUUUGGGAGGCUGAGGCGAGCAGAUUGCCUGAGCU
rnacentral:lncRNA from 1 species